rfam:Gossypium hirsutum cultivar TM-1 chromosome 24, whole genome shotgun sequence
UGUUAAAAAAUUCAUCCAUUUGUGCUAUUAAAAAUUGGCAAAAUUAAAGGAAUAACCAGAUAGUAACACAUGGUGCAUCACGUGUACUUUAUGCUAAUGUAUACAGACCGGUAUUUGACAGUAAAAAUGGAUGAAAUUUUUAACA